rnacentral:rRNA from 1 species
CAGCAGCCGCGGGAAUACGAAGGGUGCAAGCGUUACUCGGAAUUACUGGGCGUAAAGCGUGCGUAGGUGGUGGUUUAAGUCCGUUGUGAAAGCCCUGGGCUCAACCUGGGAAUUGCAGUGUAUACUGGGUCACUAGAGUGUGGUAGAGGAUAGUGGAAUUUCCGGUGUAGCAGUGAAAUGCGUAGAGAUCGGAAGGAACAUCUGUGGCGAAGGCGACUAUCUGGGCCAACACUGACACUGAGGCACGAAAGCGUGGGGAGCAAACAGGAUUAGAUACCCGUGUAGUCCCUGUCUCUUAUAC